CGAAAAGAACCCCGGGAGGGGAGUGAAAUAGAACCUGAAACCGUGUGCAUACAAACAGUAGGAGCCUGUGCUUGCAUGGGUGACUGCGUACCUUUUGUAUAAUGGGUCAGCGACUUACAUUCAGUGGCGAGGUUAACCGAAUAGGGGAGCCGAAGAGAAAUCGAGUCCGAACAGGGCGAAAGUCGCUGGGUGUAGACCCGAAACCAAGUGAUCUACUCAUGGCCAGGAUGAAGGUGCGGUAACACGCACUGGAGGUCCGAACCCACUAACGUUGAAAAGUUAGGGGAUGAGCUGUGGGUAGGGGUGAAAGGCUAAACAAACUUGGAGAUAGCUGGUUCUCUCCGAAAGCUAUUUAGGUAGUGCCUCAAGUAUCACCACUAGGGGUAGAGCACUGUUAUGGCUAGGGGGUCAUCGCGACUUACCAAACCAUUGCAAACUCCGAAUACUAGUGAGUGCGAGCUUGGGAGACAGACACCGGGUGCUAACGUCCGAUGUCAAGAGGGAAACAACCCAGACCGCCAGCUAAGGUCCCAAAGAUUGGCUAAGUGGAAAACGAAGUGGGAAGGCUAAAACAGUCAGGAGGUUGGCUUAGAAGCAGCCAUCCUUUAAAGAAAGCGUAAUAGCUCACUGAUCGAGUCGUCCUGCGCGGAAGAUGUAACGGGGCUAAGCCAGUCACCGAAGCUGCGGAUAUCCUGUAUGGGAUAUGGUAGGAGAGCGUUCUGUAAGCCUGAGAAGGUGUGUUGAGAAGCAUGCUGGAGGUAUCAGAAGUGCGAAUGCUGACAUGAGUAGCGAUAAUGGGGGUGAAAGGCCCCCACGCCGUAAGCCCAAGGUUUCCUGUUCAACGUUCAUCGGAGCAGGGUGAGUCGGCCCCUAAGGCGAGGCAGAGAUGCGUAGCUGAUGGGAAGCAGGUUAAUAUUCCUGCACCGUCGUUAGAUGCGAUGGGGGGACGGAUCGCGGAAAGUCGUCCGGGUGUUGGAAGUCCCGGUUCUUGAUUCGAAGGAGGCUGCUAGGCAAAUCCGGCAGCGUAAUCCAAGGGAUUGAGACGAGUGGCCUUGUGCCGCGAAGCGAUUGGAAGUGGUUCCAAGAAAAGCCUCUAAGCUUCAGUCUAACGAGACCGUACCGCAAACCGACACAGGUGGGCGAGAUGAGUAUUCUAAGGCGCUUGAGAGAACUCGGGAGAAGGAACUCGGCAAAUUGGUACCGUAACUUCGGGAUAAGGUACGCCCUUGUAGCUUGACUGGCCUGCGCCAGGAGGGUGAAGGGGUUGCAAUAAAAAGGUGGCUGCGACUGUUUAAUAAAAACACAGCACUCUGCAAACACGAAAGUGGACGUAUAGGGUGUGACGCCUGCCCGGUGCUGGAAGAUUAAAUGAUGGGGUGAGAGCUCUUGAUUGAAGUCCCAGUAAACGGCGGCCGUAACUAUAACGGUCCUAAGGUAGCGAAAUUCCUUGUCGGGUAAGUUCCGACCUGCACGAAUGGCGUAACGAUGGCCACACUGUCUCCUCCCGAGACUCAGCGAAGUUGAAAUGGUUGUGAUGAUGCAAUCUACCCGCGGCUAGACGGAAAGACCCCAUGAACCUUUACUGUAGCUUUACAUUGGACUUUGAACCAAUCUGUGUAGGAUAGGUGGGAGGCUUUGAAGCGUGAACGCUAGUUUGCGUGGAGCCGACCUUGAAAUACCACCCUGGUUUGUUUGAGGUUCUAACCUUGGCCCGUUAUCCGGGUUGGGGACAGUGUAUGGUAGGCAGUUUGACUGGGGCGGUCUCCUCCAAAAGCGUAACGGAGGAGUUCGAAGGUACGCUAAGUACGGUCGGACAUCGUGCUGAUAGUGCAAUGGCAUAAGCGUGCUUAACUGCGAGACCGACAAGUCGAGCAGGUACGAAAGUAGGACAUAGUGAUCCGGUGGUUCUGUAUGGAAGGGCCAUCGCUCAACGGAUAAAAGGUACUCU
rnacentral:rRNA from 1 species